GGGGAUGUAGCCCAGUUAGUAGAGUGCCUGUCUUGCAAAAGGCUCUGGGUUCAAUCCCCAGCACCCCUC
rnacentral:tRNA from 1 species